AGUUUGAUCCUGGCUCAGGAUGAACGCUGGCGGCGUGCCUAAUACAUGCAAGUCGAGCGAAUGGAUUAAGAGCUUGCUCUUAUGAAGUUAGCGGCGGACGGGUGAGUAACACGUGGGUAACCUGCCCAUAAGACUGGGAUAACUCCGGGAAACCGGGGCUAAUACCGGAUAACAUUUUGAACUGCAUGGUUCGAAAUUGAAAGGCGGCUUCGGCUGUCACUUAUGGAUGGACCCGCGUCGCAUUAGCUAGUUGGUGAGGUAACGGCUCACCAAGGCAACGAUGCGUAGCCGACCUGAGAGGGUGAUCGGCCACACUGGGACUGAAACACGGCCCAGACUCCUACGGGAGGCAGCAGUAGGGAAUCUUCCGCAAUGGACGAAAGUCUGACGGAGCAACGCCGCGUGAGUGAUGAAGGCUUUCGGGUCGUAAAACUCUGUUGUUAGGGAAGAACAAGUGCUAGUUGAAUAAGCUGGCACCUUGACGGUACCUAACCAGAAAGCCACGGCUAACUACGUGCCAGCAGCCGCGGUAAUACGUAGG
rnacentral:rRNA from 1 species